UUUCAAUCAUGUAUUAUUAUAACUUUUUUCGUUCAACUUUAAUUUAUGAAACAUAAUAAGCAAUUAUAAACAGAGUGAUAUUUGAUACAUCCAUUCUGUUAAUCAAGCACAUUCUGAUAAGGUUAACCAGAUGUUGGACACAUUUCAAAUUUAGUUGCUAUGGUAAUUAAGUUUAUAGUUCUGAAAUGGGAUGGUCACUUUUGAGGUUAUUUCCUGUCGUCUAUUUGUAACUUCCGAAAGCAGUGAUAACAAAGAAAACCAAAAGAGAAAAUCACAGUUCAAAGAGAAAGAAACAUGUCAGGUAUUGGAGUACUACAGAAGACAAAUUUAAUCAGAGUGCAAAAGGAAUAGUAGUUAACAUUGAAAAUAUUCUGGCUACAAAAUGCGUGGAAAUGAAGAUGGGACAAAAUGCAUUCUACCAUUUGAUAGCCCAGAAUGAAUUACUUUAAAAAGCAAACAAGAGAAGGAGGCUUGCAGUAGAAGAUACAGAUUCUGACUAAUUAAUAAAAUGUUAAAAUGCUAUUCAGGAAAAUUCAAUAUUCAUUGACAGUCAUAAUUAAGUCCUGUCAUAUGAAUAAGCUAUUCUAUCAAUGCUUUUGUGUUGGCAGUAUACACAUGUCAUGCUUUGACUGCUCUUAAUUGUUUGAAAGAGUCUGAAAAUAUCAAACGAAAAUUCAAAUAUCCACAAGUCGGAGAAAAACAAUCGCAUUGCAAAA